rnacentral:rRNA from 1 species
UACGUAGGGGCUAGCGUUAUCCGGAAUUACUGGGCGUAAAGGGUGCGUAGGCGGUCUUUCAAGCCAGAAGUGAAAGGCUACGGCUCAACCGUAGUAAGCUCUUGAAACUGUAAGACUUGAGUGCAGGAGAGGAGAGUGGAAUUCCUAGUGUAGCGGUGAAAUGCGUAGAUAUUAGGAGGAACACCAGUUGCGAAGGCGGCUCUCUGGACUGUAACUGACGCUGAGGCACGAAAGCGUGGGGAGCAAACAGGAUUAGAUACCCGGGUAGUCCCU